rnacentral:rRNA from 1 species
CCUACGGGUGGCAGCAGUGAGGAAUAUUGGUCAAUGGACGAGAGUCUGAACCAGCCAAGUAGCGUGAAGGAUGACUGCCCUAUGGGUUGUAAACUUCUUUUAUAUGGGAAUAAAAUGUUCCACGUGUGGGAUUUUGUAUGUACCAUAUGAAUAAGGAUCGGCUAACUCCGUGCCAGCAGCCGCGGUAAUACGGAGGAUCCGAGCGUUAUCCGGAUUUAUUGGGUUUCAAGGGUCCGUAGGUGGAUUGUUAAGUCAGUUGUGAAAGUUUGCGGCUCAACCGUAAAAUUGAUGUUGAAACUGGCAGUUUGGAGUAAAGUAGAGGUGGGCGGAAGUCGGGGUGUAGCGGUGAAAUGGUUGGAAAUAACGAAGAACUCCGAUGGCGAAGGAGGCUAACGGGACUGAAACUGACACGGAGGCUCGAAAGUGUGGGUAUCAAACAGGAUUAGAUACCCUGUAGUC